rnacentral:rRNA from 1 species
AUUGAACGCUGGCGGCAUGCCUUACACAUGCAAGUCGAACGGUAACGGGCCUUCGGGUGCCGACGAGUGGCGAACGGGUGAGUAAUGUAUCGGAACGUACCUUUCAGUGGGGGAUAACGUAGCGAAAGUUACGCUAAUACCGCAUAUUCUGUGAGCAGGAAAGCAGGGGAUCGCAAGACCUUGCGCUGAUUGAGCGGCCGAUAUCAGAUUAGCUAGUUGGUGAGGUAAAGGCUCACCAAGGCGACGAUCUGUAGCGGGUCUGAGAGGAUGAUCCGCCACACUGGAACUGAGACACGGUCCAGACUCCUACGGGAGGCAGCAGUGGGGAAUUUUGGACAAUGGGGGCAACCCUGAUCCUGCCAUGCCGCGUGAGUGAAGAAGGCCUUCGGGUUGUAAAGCUCUUUCGGCCGGGAAGAAAUCAUAUCAGCUAAUACCUGGUGCGGAUGACGGUACCGGCAUAAGAAGCACCGGCUAACUACGUGCCAGCCGCCGCCGUAAUAC